rnacentral:rRNA from 1 species
AUGCGUUGUUGGGUAGGGGAGCGUUCUGUAAGCCUGUGAAGGUGUGCUGUGAGGCAUGCUGGAGGUAUCAGAAGUGCGAAUGCUGACAUAAGUAACGAUAAAGCGGGUGAAAAGCCCGCUCGCCGGAAGACCAAGGGUUCCUGUCCAACGUUAAUCGGGGCAGGGUGAGUCGACCCCUAAGGCGAGGCCGAAAGGCGUAGUCGAUGGGAAACAGGUUAAUAUUCCUGUACUUGGUGUUACUGCGAAGGGGGGACGGAGAAGGCUAUGUUGGCCGGGCGACGGUUGUCCCGGUUUAAGCGUGUAGGCUGGUUUUCCAGGCAAAUCCGGAAAAUCAAGGCUGAGGCGUGAUGACGAGGCACUACGGUGCUGAAGCAACAAAUGCCCUGCUUCCAGGAAAAGCCUCUAAGCAUCAGGUAACAUCAAAUCGUACCCCAAACCGACACAGGUGGUCAGGUAGAGAAUACCAAGGCGCUUGAGAGAACUCGGGUGAAGGAACUAGGCAAAAUGGUGCCGUAACUUCGGGAGAAGGCACGCUGAUAUGUAGGUGAAGCGACUUGCUCGUGGAGCUGAAAUCAGUCGAAGAUACCAGCUGGCUGCAACUGUUUAUUAAAAACACAGCACUGUGCAAACACGAAAGUGGACGUAUACGGUGUGACGCCUGCCCGGUGCCGGAAGGUUAAUUGAUGGGGUCAGCGCAAGCGAAGCUCUUGAUCGAAGCCCCGGUAAACGGCGGCCGUAACUAUAACGGUCCUAAGGUAGCGAAAUUCCUUGUCGGGUAAGUUCCGACCUGCACGAAUGGCGUAAUGAUGGCCAGGCUGUCUCCACCCGAGACUCAGUGAAAUUGAACUCGCUGUGAAGAUGCAGUGUACCCGCGGCAAGACGGAAAGACCCCGUGAACCUUUACUAUAGCUUGACACUGAACAUUGAGCCUUGAUGUGUAGGAUAGGUGGGAGGCUUAGAAGUGUGGACGCCAGUCUGCAUGGAGCCGACCUUGAAAUACCACCCUUUAAUGUUUGAUGUUCUAACGUUGACCCGUAAUCCGGGUUGCGGACAGUGUCUGGUGGGUAGUUUGACUGGGGCGGUCUCCUCCUAAAGAGUAACGGAGGAGCACGAAGGUUGGCUAAUCCUGGUCGGACAUCAGGAGGUUAGUGCAAUGGCAUAAGCCAGCUUGACUGCGAGCGUGACGGCGCGAGCAGGUGCGAAAGCAGGUCAUAGUGAUCCGGUGGUUCUGAAUGGAAGGGCCAUCGCUCAACGGAUAAAAGGUACUCCGGGGAUAACAGGCUGAUACCGCCCAAGAGUUCAUAUCGACGGCGGUGUUUGGCACCUCGAUGUCGGCUCAUCACAUCCUGGGGCUGAAGUAGGUCCCAAGGGUAUGGCUGUUCGCCAUUUAAAGUGGUACGCGAGCUGGGUUUAGAACGUCGUGAGACAGUUCGGUCCCUAUCUGCCGUGGGCGCUGGAGAACUGAGGGGGGCUGCUCCUAGUACGAGAGGACCGGAGUGGACGCAUCACUGGUGUUCGGGUUGUCAUGCCAAUGGCACUGCCCGGUAGCUAAAUGCGGAAGAGAUAAGUGCUGAAAGCAUCUAAGCACGAAACUUGCCCCGAGAUGAGUUCUCCCUGACCCUUUAAGGGUCCUGAAGGAACGUUGAAGACGACGACGUUGAUAGGCCGGGUGUGUAAGCGCAGCGAUGCGUUGAGCUAACCGGUACUAAUGAACCGUGAGGCUUAACCUUACAACGCCGAAG